AGUGAACGCUGGCGGUAGGCCUAACACAUGCAAGUCGAACGGCAGCACAGGAGAGCUUGCUCUCUGGGUGGCGAGUGGCGGACGGGUGAGGAAUACAUCGGAAUCUACUCUGUCGUGGGGGAUAACGUAGGGAAACUUACGCUAAUACCGCAUACGACCUACGGGUGAAAGCAGGGGACCUUCGGGCCUUGCGCGAUUGAAUGAGCCGAUGUCGGAUUAGCUAGUUGGCGGGGUAAAGGCCCACCAAGGCGACGAUCCGUAGCUGGUCUGAGAGGAUGCUCAGCCACACUGGAACUGAGACACGGUCCAGACUCCUACGGGAGGCAGCAGUGGGGAAUAUUGGACAAUGGGCGCAAGCCUGAUCCAGCCAUACCGCGUGGGUGAAGAAGGCCUUCGGGUUGUAAAGCCCUUUUGUUGGGAAAGAAAUCCAGCUGGCUGAUACCCGGUUGGGAUGACGGUACCCAAAGAAUAAGCACCGGCUAACUUCGUGCCAGCAGCCGCCGUAA
rnacentral:rRNA from 1 species